rnacentral:rRNA from 1 species
UACGGAGGGUGCAAGCGUUAUCCGGAUUCACUGGGUUUAAAGCGCGCGUAGGCGGACCUGCAAGUCGGGGGUGAAAGCCCGAGGCUCAACCUCGGAACUGCCUUCGAUACUGCGGGUCUCGAGUCCGGGAGAGGUGAGUGGAAUUCCUAGUGUAGAGGUGAAAUUCGUAGAUAUUAGGAAGAACACCAGUGGCGAAGGCGGCUCACUGGCCCGGUACUGACGCUGAGGCGCGAAAGCGUGGGGAGCAAACAGG